UACGAGGGGGGGCGAGCGUUGUUCGGAAUUACUGGGCGUAAAGGGCGCGUAGGCGGCUUGGCAAGUUGGAUGUGAAAGCCCUGGGCUCAACCCGGGAACUGCAUUCAAAACUGCCUUGCUUGAAUUCGGUAGAGGUUGGUGGAAUUCCCAGUGUAGAGGUGAAAUUCGUAGAUAUUCGCAAGAACACCAGUGGCGAAGGCGGCUCACUGGCCCGGUACUGACGCUGAGGUGCGAAAGCGUGGGGAGCAAACAGG
rnacentral:rRNA from 1 species